GAGGAUUGUUAGGUUGUCGCUGCUAACGAUGAUUUGGGCUUUGGUUGCUCGGUUCUCU
rnacentral:tRNA from 1 species